rnacentral:rRNA from 1 species
GAUGAACGCUGGCGGCGUGCCUAAUACAUGCAAGUCGAGCGAACAGACGAGGAGCUUGCUCCUCUGACGUUAGCGGCGGACGGGUGAGUAACACGUGGAUAACCUACCUAUAAGACUGGGAUAACUUCGGGAAACCGGAGCUAAUACCGGAUAAUAUAUUGAACCGCAUGGUUCAAUAGUGAAAGACGGUUUUGCUGUCACUUAUAGAUGGAUCCGCGCCGCAUUAGCUAGUUGGUAAGGUAACGGCUUACCAAGGCAACGAUGCGUAGCCGACCUGAGAGGGUGAUCGGCCACACUGGAACUGAGACACGGUCCAGACUCCUACGGGAGGCAGCAGUAGGGAAUCUUCCGCAAUGGGCGAAAGCCUGACGGAGCAACGCCGCGUGAGUGAUGAAGGUCUGCGGAUCGUAAAACGCUGUUAUUAGGGAAGAACAAAUGUGUAAGUAACGAUGCACGUCUGGACGGUACCUAAGCAGAAAGCCACGGCUAACUACGG